UACGUAGGCAGCGAGCGUUGUUCGGAAUUACUGGGCGUAAAGAGUGUGUAGGCGGUGCUCCAAGUCUGUUGUGAAAUCUCCCGGCUUAACUGGGGGGGUGCAGCGGAUACUAGAGUGCUAGAGGGUGGGAGAGGAAAGCGGAAUUCCUGGUGUAGCGGUGAAAUGCGUAGAGAUCAGGAGGAAUACCGAUGGCGAAGGCA
rnacentral:rRNA from 1 species